UUCUCCUACGGGAAGGCAGCAGUAGGGAAUCUUCCACAAUGGACGCAAGUCUGAUGGAGCAACGCCGCGUGAGUGAAGAAGGUCUUCGGAUCGUAAAGCUCUGUUGUUGGUGAAGAAGGAUAGAGGCAGUAACUGGUCUUUAUUUGACGGUAAUCAACCAGAAAGUCACGGCUAACUACGUGCCAGCAGCCGCGGUAAUACGUAGGUGGCAAGCGUUGUCCGGAUUUAUUGGGCGUAAAGCGAGCGCAGGCGGAAUGAUAAGUCUGAUGUGAAAGCNACACGGCUCAACCGUGGAACUGCAUCGGAAACUGUCAUUCUUGAGGCAGA
rnacentral:rRNA from 1 species